ACGAACGCUGGCGGCGUGCUUAACACAUGCAAGUCGAACGGAAAGGCCCUGCUUUUGUGGGGUGCUCGAGUGGCGAACGGGUGAGUAACACGUGAGUAACCUGCCCUUGACUUUGGGAUAACUUCAGGAAACUGGGGCUAAUACCGGAUAGGAGCUCCUGCUGCAUGGUGGGGGUUGGAAAGUUUCGGCGGUUGGGGAUGGACUCGCGGCUUAUCAGCUUGUUGGUGGGGUAGUGGCUUACCAAGGCUUUGACGGGUAGCCGGCCUGAGAGGGUGACCGGCCACAUUGGGACUGAGAUACGGCCCAAACUCCUACGGGAGGCAGCAGUGGGGAAUAUUGCACAAUGGGCGGAAGCCUGAUGCAGCAACGCCGCGUGCGGGAUGACGGCCUUCGGGUUGUAAACCGCUUUCGCCUGUGACGAAGCGUGAGUGACGGUAAUGGGUAAAGAAGCACCGGCUAACUACGUG
rnacentral:rRNA from 1 species